GGGACCGGAAGUUUUCCAACAAACAGCCAAUGAACAGAGAGAAUUCCUAGAGAUGGCCAAUCAGCAAGCAGCAACGCCGCAUCAAUACCCAGGUACCGGAUGCGAAGGGCUUGGAUGUGCUUUUUGGUUUGCCCUCCCUUCCUUCAACUGCGGUUUCCUUUUGCUUUUCUCUGAGCCUCCGGCCCUUGAACAGUGGAAAUAGGAAGCUAGGGCUGGCCUGACGAGCAGCGACCACACCUGGCCCAGCCACACGAGUGGAGCGCCUGUUCCACCGGAAGGGAUGCUCUGGGGAGGUUUCCUCCUUCCGCUCCAGUUUCUUGGCUCCAACGAGGGAUCAAACUCAGGAGCACUCAACCACUGAGCUACAUCCCCAGCCACAUCCCCAGCCACAUCCCCUGCUGUCUCAACCUCCCCAGCUGCUGAGAUUACAGAUGUGCACCACUGUGCCCAGCUAGAGGACAUACUUUUUAAUGAAGACCUUGUGUUAUGAUUCAAAUGUGAUAGAAACACAAAAUAAUAUAAAUGUUCUAUGUAUUAGUUAUCUAUUGCUGUGUAACAAAUUUCUCUGAAACUUGGUGGUUUAUAAUAAAAAAUUGUUAUCUGCA